AGACGAUCUAGCCUGGUCAUUACAACCAAAAUCUUCUGGGGAGGAAAAGCAGAGACUGAGAGAGGCCUGUCCAGAAAGCACAUCAUAGAAGGCCUGAAAGCCUCUUUGGAACGGCUCCAGUUAGAGUACGUGGACGUGGUGUUCGCCAACAGACCCGACCCUAACACUCCCAUGGAAGGGGACCCAUUUAGUUCUUCCAAGUCAAGAACAUUCAUCAUAGAAG